UGGUUUAUGGUGGGUUGGAGAGCUGGAUGGAGCUAUUGGCAUAGUCCCCAAGGAGUUUUUACACCCUGCUUAUAUUCUAUGAGGUUUGCGUUUUGUGAAGAUCACAGAAUGUUCAGCGUUAUAACACUUGAACACCUGUCAUGGUUUGAAAAGUGUCUGAUUAGAUUAGAUUAGAUUGUGAAUUCAAGUAAAAUGGCAUUUUAGUCCAUUUCUAGAACCUUAACCCUAUCUGAGACCAAAUAGAUUUGUAUAUAAGCCUUUUUUAUAUAUUUCAUGAUUAGUGUACACUAAGAGACUUUUCUUAUUCAUGGUUUUCUGAUUUGUUCAAACAUAAGCCACAUUUAUGCAAAUGGUGUACAUAAGAAAAACAUUAGUAGUGUAAGAACUUCUCAUUUAUCAUCAUUUAAAGGCUGUGUUCUAUUUCAACAGCACAAAAUAUUGAAUACAACUACCCUUUUUUAAUGUACAAUUAAGACUAUGACUGCAAAGAACAAUUAUCAGUUAUUCUUAAGUGUGUUGAUUUUCUUCUCAACUCUGCAUUUGUAUUUGAAAAUUGCUUAGUUCAGAGUAAUACUAGCCAUUUCAGCAGAUAUUACUUCAUGGAAAUAACCUGUCACACCAGUUUAAUUAAAAUAAAAAGCCUUGCCACUUUGGACUUAA